rnacentral:rRNA from 1 species
AGCGAACGCUGGCGGCAGGCCUAACACAUGCAAGUCGAACGAACCUUUCGGGGUUAGUGGCGGACGGGUGAGUAACACGUGGGAACGUGCCUUUAGGUUCGGAAUAACUCAGGGAAACUUGUGCUAAUACCGAAUGUGCCCUUCGGGGGAAAGAUUUAUCGCCUUUAGAGCGGCCCGCGUCUGAUUAGCUAGUUGGUUGAGGUAAUGGCUCACCAAGGCGACGAUCAGUAGCUGGUCUGAGAGGAUGAUCAGCCACAUUGGGACUGAGACACGGCCCAAACUCCUACGGGAGGCAGCAGUGGGGAAUCUUGCGCAAUGGGCGAAAGCCUGACGCAGCCAUGACGCGUGAAUGAUGAAGGUCUUAGGAUUGUAAAAUUCUUUCAACGGGGACGAUAAUGACGGUACCCAGAGAAGAAGCCCCGGCUAACUUCGUG